CAAAAGCCAAAACUCUUCUAUACCUUGACCCAAAAUAUCCAAGGAGAGUCAUGGCCAAUGGCAAUAUUGUAUCAUUUUGCAUCCUCUCCUUCUUGUUUCUUUGUAUUGGAGAGAUGACAAGUGUAGCGGCAACAACAUGGUGUGUGGCUAGUCUCACAGGGACAGAUGCUUUGUAUCAACAAGCCAUAAAGAUUUCUUGAGAAGCCCCUAGGGUGAAUUAUGCACCAAUAUCACCUAGUGGCAUAUGUUUUGAACCCAACAAAUUGGCUAAUCAUGCAACCGUGGCCCUCAAUCUCAACUAUUUAGCCAAUAAUGUUUGCCCUCGUCCAUUUGGCAUAACUAUAGUAACAAAUCCUUCAUUUGGAAGAUGCAUUUUACAAGGAAAACCAUCUCCAAGACAGCAAUAUGGAAGAACGUCAUCACUUUCAAUUUCAAUAAAAUAGGGAUGCCUAUUUUCUAUUAGUUGAAAAUAAUAUAUUAUGAUCGAAAUGAUGUAUCGCAGGGUCUUUGUGGAACCUUUUUUCUAUAUUUUUAUGUGUUGACCCACAAGUGCGAGUUCUUAAUCACAAGACUUAUGAAAAUGGAAAAAACUUUACCUUGUUUACUAUUCUAUAGCAU